GGCGGCGACGCCGAGCGGAACCCGAAAAACCGGUCUCAGUUCGGAUCGGAGUCUGCAACCCGACUCCGUGAAGCUGGAUUCGCUAGUAAUCGCGCAUCAGCCAUGGCGCGGUGAAUACGUUCCCGGGCCUUGUACACACCGCCCGUCACACCAUGAGAGUCGGGAACACCCGAAGUCCGUAGCCUAACCGCAAGGAGGGCGCGGCCGAAGGUGGGUUCGAUAAUUGGGGUGAAGUCGUAACAAGGUAGC
rnacentral:rRNA from 1 species